rnacentral:rRNA from 1 species
UACGUAGGGGGCAAGCGUUGUCCGGAUUCAUUGGGCGUAAAGAGCGUGUAGGCGGCCAGGUAGGUCGGUUGUGAAAACUGGAGGCUCAACCUUCAGAGGUCGACCGAAACCAUCUGGCUAGAGUCCGGGAGAGGAGAGUGAAUUCCUGGUGUAGCGGUGAAAUGCGCAGAUAUCAGGAGGAACACCGGUGGCGAAGGCGGGUCUCUGGGCCGUAACUGACGCUGAGGAGCGAAAGCAUGGGGAGCGAACAGG